rnacentral:rRNA from 1 species
UACGUAGGGGGCAAGCGUUGUCCGGAUUUAUUGGGCGUAAAGAGCGUGUAGGCGGCCAGAUAGGUCUGUUGUGAAAACUCGAGGCUCAACCUCGAGACGCCGAUGGAAACCAUCUGGCUAGAGUCCGGAAGAGGAGAGUGGAAUUCCUGGUGUAGCGGUGAAAUGCGCAGAUAUCAGGAAGAACACCCAUGGCGAAGGCGGCUCUCUAGUACGGUACUGACGCUGAGGCGCGAAAGCGUGGGGAGCGAACAGG